UGUGUUGGCGACCUUUCAUAGAAGUGGCAGUUAUUGUGCACAAGUCUUUACACUCAUGAAGCCAGUGUUAUAUCCAAUGGGCUGUGGAUUGGGUUUGUGCCGUAACUGAGACGUGAUGGCAACUACUGGGAAUCAUGGACUGUGAUAGUGUGGCCAUUGAAGUUGAAACUUUGCUCCAAUAAAAGACUGUUGCAG
rnacentral:lncRNA from 1 species